rnacentral:rRNA from 1 species
UACGUAGGGGGCUAGCGUUGUUCGGAUUUAUUGGGCGUAAAGAGCGUGUAGGCGGCCAGGUAAGUCUGGUGUGAAAACUCGAGGCUUAACCUCGAGAUGUCAUCGGAAACCAUCUGGCUAGAGUCCGGAAGAGGAGAGUGGAAUUCCUGGUGUAGCGGUGAAAUGCGCAGAUAUCAGGAAGAACACCAAUGGCGAAAGCAGCUCUCUGGGACGGUACUGACGCUGAGACGCGAAAGCGUGGGGAGCGAACAGG